CGAACGGGUGAGUAACGCGUAGGUAACCUGCCUUGUAGCGGGGGAUAACUAUUGGAAACGAUAGCUAAUACCGCAUAACAAUGGAUGACACAUGUCAUUUAUUUGAAAGGGGCAAUUGCUCCACUACAAGAUGGACCUGCGUUGUAUUAGCUAGUAGGUGAGGUAAUGGCUCACCUAGGCGACGAUACAUAGCCGACCUGAGAGGGUGAUCGGCCACACUGGGACUGAGACACGGCCCAGACUCCUACGGGAGGCAGCAGUAGGGAAUCUUCGGCAAUGGGGGCAACCCUGACCGAGCAACGCCGCGUGAGUGAAGAAGGUUUUCGGAUCGUAAAGCUCUGUUGUAAGUCAAGAACGGGUGUGAGAGUGGAAAGUUCACACUGUGACGGUAGCUUACCAGAAAGGGACGGCUAACUACGUGCCAGCAGCCGCGGUAAUACGUAGGUCCCGAGCGUUGUCCGGAUUUAUUGGGCGUAAAGCGAGCGCAGGCGGUUUGAUAAGUCUGAAGUUAAAGGCUGUGGCUCAACCAUAGUUCGCUUUGGAAACUGUCAAACUUGAGUGCAGAAGGGGAGAGUGGAAUUCCAUGUGUAGCGGUGAAAUGCGUAGAUAUAUGGAGGAACACCGGUGGCGAAAGCGGCUCUCUGGUCUGUAACUGACGCUGAGGCUCGAAAGCGUGGGGAGCGAACAGGAUUAGAUACCCUGGUAGUCCACGCCGUAAACGAUGAGUGCUAGGUGUUGGAUCCUUUCCGGGAUUCAGUGCCGCAGCUAACGCAUUAAGCACUCCGCCUGGGGAGUACGACCGCAAGGUUGAAACUCAAAGGAAUUGACGGGGGCCCGCACAAGCGGUGGAGCAUGUGGUUUAAUUCGAAGCAACGCGAAGAACCUUACCAGGUCUUGACAUCCCGAUGCUAUUUCUAGAGAUAGAAAGUUACUUCGGUACAUCGGUGACAGGUGGUGCAUGGUUGUCGUCAGCUCGUGUCGUGAGAUGUUGGGUUAAGUCCCGCAACGAGCGCAACCCCUAUUGUUAGUUGCCAUCAUUCAGUUGGGCACUCUAGCGAGACUGCCGGUAAUAAACCGGAGGAAGGUGGGGAUGACGUCAAAUCAUCAUGCCCCUUAUGACCUGGGCUACACACGUGCUACAAUGGUUGGUACAACGAGUUGCGAGUCGGUGACGGCGAGCUAAUCUCUUAAAGCCAAUCUCAGUUCGGAUUGUAGGCUGCAACUCGCCUACAUGAAGUCGGAAUCGCUAGUAAUCGCGGAUCAGCACGCCGCGGUGAAUACGUUCCCGGGCCUUGUACACACCGCCCGUCACACCACGAG
rnacentral:rRNA from 1 species